GUUCGAGAAGUAUCAUGGGCGACUGUCCUUCCCCGAGCCUGGCUCAAACGCUCCUCUGCUUCGUCGGCCACCCAUGCGCACGGUGGCGGCGGCGGCUUCCUCGUCUCUUCGUUCCGGCGACCGCCCCCCUGCCAUCGCUCCCAACGAUUUCGACGCGGAUUUGGCGAGGAUGAUGGAGGCGCUGGAGGCCAUGGACUCUCUCUCUCUCUCCCGUCGGACCAGCAAAUCAACAUCUCUUCCGCCGCGAGCUCCAGGCGCUAGCAAAUGUCGCCUGCAGUCCCUCCCCUCGGCAAGGCGUCGUCCUGAAUUUCCCCCCUCCGAUACACGCUUCUCUUCUCGCGGAUCGGUCGCUGCGGGAUUUGUUGUCAUUUGAUUCCGGCAGAUGAUUAAAUGGAUGUUUGUUGUGGAUUAGGUGGCUGGGAUUGACGAGAUGGGCACCACUCUCUGCCUCCCAACACCAGGCAAGUUGUUUCUGAGGGCAUCGGUGCCGGUCGGGGAGGAUCAGCAGAUGUUUGAUGAACUGUUCUGAAGAAAUCACGUGGAAUCUCUAGGCUUGUACAUCUUAAUCAUUUAUAGAGACAUGCUAUUCAAGGUAGUGGCUACAAGACUUGCUGCUUCUAUUCAACUAGAAACCAUUUAAUCUUAACCAAAACGUGCCCGCGCGUGGGGUGCGUCGGGAAGGUCGAGAAGGGAAUGGCCACCAUCGGGAUUUUAGGAGAUACCAGAUGUCGAUACUGGGAUUGUGGCUGUGGCUGGAGAGUUGGAUCCAAAAGAGCUUUGCUAAUGGCUGAAAAGGAAGACUCGAAGGACGUCAAAAUUGUCAGCCCUGAUCCACCAGCUGAGAAUCAUAAUCAGAAAAUGAUAUUGGUUCUUGGAAGCAGUACAAGAGCUGGGGACACUAGACUACACCUUCAGCUCCACCAUUACCGGAUCAAUUGUCCUGGGCUCUAGCACCAUAAGGAAUUGAGUCUGACGAUAAGGAUCUACAGCCGAUUGAGGAGCAGAUCUUCACCUUUAGGGAGCUCGCAGCAGCCAUGAGCAAGUUCAGAGCCGAUUGCCUUCUAGGUGGCUUCAGACCAUAACAGCGAAGGAAAAGCCUCUGCUGAUUAUUGCAGAAGAUUUAGAAGUGAAGCACUGGGUACCUUGAUUAUUAACAAGCUUCGCAUCCACAUGAAGGUAUGGAGAGAUUGCCGCCGAGGUGGGGGAGAAGGAGAACUGGAAAUGCCCGAAAUGGGUUGGUGAUUGCAAGUGCAGCAACUUCAUGGUGAAGAGAGGUGAGUCACCGACUGGGAAAAUCUACCUUGCUGCCAAAGCAUCUGGGUGCUCCUCUGUCCGGGAGUUGCUAAAUAAGGGAAAAGAAGCUGUGGCUGAUGCACUGAAGUUAAUUGGUACAGAGAAGCAUCAGGGCAACCCUAAGGACAGACGAUCAUGUCGGUGAAUUACCAGUUGAAAUAGUUCUACCCAGGGGUACUCUGCUGACUCGUAUUGCAGGUGUAGAGCUGCGGCCUGAAGAUGUAGGCCGUGCCAUUCAGUUUUUGGAGUUCUGCCGCUCCUUUGGGUUGGUAAUUAUAGAAAGCAAGUGAUAAGCUUAUUUAUAGUAUGAAAGUUACUUGCUAGUGCAAUAAGAUGUUGUCGUAUUUGGACUUACAUGUCUCCCAGUUUGACCAGUAAAAUAAGAUGUUGUCAUAGAAAAUAACGGCUAAUAUAGUUAGAUAUAUAUCUAGAGGCUUCAAAAUUCUUUGUGAUUAUGAUCUGUAUACCUGAUUUCAUGUACCUCCAGAAAUGUCCAUAGUUGUCUUAAAUUAAUCUUAUAUCUCUAACAGGCACAGAGAAGUUCUGGGUGUGAGAAUGAAUAUGGAUCUGCUGGUGCAGCAAUUGGGAAUCAUUUCGUGUUGCAUUGAUGCAUCAACUCCUCACUUCAAAGCUGGUUUGCAGUACCUAGUUAUGGAUACUUAGAUUGGUUAAUAAUGUUAUUGAGCACAAAAAGUUCAUUGGCGUUAGUCUAGUAUCUUAGUCAUGUCCCCGUUAGUACUGUACUGUGAUUCUCAAUUUUUAAUCGAAAGAUAGUUUCAUUUGCAACAGUUGACAAUCUGGCACCAAACUUAGAGUUUUGUUUCCAUAGUUUAAAAUAUUAAUCUGUUCUUAGUAUGUUUGCUUGCUUUUAGAGUGUUCCUUCUGUAUUUUAAAUGGAAUGAUAUAUGUGGCAAAUGAUUUAAACAGAUUUUUCAAAUUUGGAAGGAGCAAGCAGAACAAAUUCUCAAUGACAUAACUGGAGAUUUUGAAGACCGGGUGGUGCCUUCACUUGUGGCGAAUCUGCACAUUAAAAGGUGAAAAGUCAUCCUGGCCAUCCAUUCUACUCUAGAAUAUACUACUCUAGUCUCUCCCCCGGUAGGGACCUGGAUUCAGUGAAGUUACAUCACUGAAUCCUUCUCCCCCUAGUAGCCAUCCAACCUUCACUAGAAUUUACUACUCUAGUCUCUCCCCUAGUAGCCAUCCAAUCUUCACUAGAAUGUACUUCAGAAUGCAACCAAGCGGUUACAUCAUCUAUUAUAGAAGAAGGAGUACAAUGCCGUUAAGACGGCUACAACGCCACAAGUGGCUCAAGAAAACUGAAAACACUACGCCGCUACAAGCAACCCACUCACCCUAAGGGCCGACAAGGCAAAACUUCCCCUACACAGCACGAACUGCCUCCUAAAGAACAUGGGUGUGAAUGCUCCAGCACGAGUGAGAAACGCCGUUAAAGACCACAUCGUUCUGGUGUCUCCAGAUAGACCAAAAGACCACAGUCCUGAAGUCCUUUUGGGCAUCAUGAGGAACCGAUCUGGAGGCCCACCACUCGCGGAUGUUCGAGUCGCCCACGGGCAUCCAAUCCAGGUGCCCCCACAACGUCAUAAUGGGCCCCCACAACUUAAUAACGUCUCCGGCUCUUGGUCACAAAGCGGGCAUCGGGCAGGAUGCGGCAAACCCCGUCGUUGAAGCCUGUCAGCCAUCCAGCAGCGGUUUCGGACCGUGAGCCAAGCGAAGAAGCGACACCGCAUAGGAGCCCUGGAGUGCCAAACCGGCCCGGCCAGUGGAUCGGUCAUCUUCGCAGCGAAGAGAUUAGAGUAUGCCGACUUGGCCGAGUAAGAACCAUGACUGGUCUAGUUUCAUAGCAAGGUGUCGUGCCCACUAUCCGGAAGCUGGAAACGCAGGAGCUGCUCCCACAGAAUCAGAAACUCGCCUAUGGCCUCCACUCCCAAGUCCGGCCCCACAUCUGAGAUCCAGGCACCCAACACUCCAUCUCGAACCGAACGGGUGCGUAAGAUGCGUGGGCGAAUACCCGCUACAUGCGAAGGAAAGUGGUCCCGGUUCCUACUACCAUCCAACCACCUAUCGGUCCAAAAGAGAGUACUCCGAUCGUCCCCAAGCCGAGAGGAACUGGCCGCCUCAAAGAUGGCAUCCACCAGCUCCGAAGACCGAAAGGUGAGCUCCUGCCACGGCUUGGUGUUGUCAACCCUCUCAAGCCACCUCCAGCGCACCCGCAACACCGCAUUCAGGUUAGGGAUGCCAAGUCCUCCAAACUGCUUAGGCAUGCACACCGAGGGCCAUGCAACCACACAAUGGCCACCAUGGACAUCCUUCCUCCCUUUCCAAAGAAAGCCUCGACAGAUCUUCUCCACUCCUUUGAUGGUCUUCACCGGCAAGUCGAGCGCCAUCAUCGAGUGAACCGGCAUCGCAGUGAGUGUAGAUAUGACGAGAAUGAGCCAGCCACCCUUGGAUAAAAGAGGCGCCUUCCACGAAGCUAGGCGCGUCUCCACCCUGUCCAGGUGCCUUGUCGAGCUCCUGGGAGCGGACAACAGCCCAGAUUUCCUCCUCCGUGAAGUCAGCCUCCAACAAGCUAAGAUCAC